AUUGAACGCUGGCGGCGUGCCUAACACAUGCUAGUCGAUCGGUAACGCGGGGGCAACCCUGGCGACGAGAGGCGGACGGGUGAGGAACGCUUGGGAAUCUGCCUAUCAGCGGGGGACAACACGGGGAAACUCGUGCUAAUACCGCAUACGCUCUACGGAGGAAAGCCGGGGACCGCAAGGCCUGGCACUGAUAGAUGAGCCCAAGCCGGAUUAGCUAGUUGGCGGGGUAACGGCCCACCAAGGCGACGAUCCGUAGCUGGUCUGAGAGGACGCUCAGCCACACUGGGACUGAGACACGGCCCAGACUCCUACGGGAGGCAGCAGUGGGGAAUAUUGGACAAUGGGGGAAACCCUGAUCCAGCGACGCCGCGUGGGUGAAGAAGGCCUGCGGGUUGUAAAGCCCUUUCGGUAGGGACGAAAGCUCUCGACCUAACACGUCGGGAGGUUGACUUAACCUACAAAAGAAGCACCGGCUAACUCUGUGCCAGCAGCCGCCGUAACAC
rnacentral:rRNA from 1 species